rnacentral:pre_miRNA from 1 species
UAGUAUGGUAGAAAGAUUCAUCUAUUUCUUCUACCAUACUAUU